AGUGAACGCUGGCGGCAGGCCUAACACAUGCCAGUCGAACGGCAGCACAAGAGAGCUUGCUCUCUGGGUGGCGAGUGGCGGACGGGUGAGGAAUGCAUCGGAAUCUGCCCAUUUGUGGGGGAUAACCUCGGGAAACCGGGACUAAUACCGCAUACGACCUGCGGGUGAAAGCAGGGGAUCUUCGGACCUUGCGCAGAUGGAUGAGCCGAUGCCGGAUUAGCUAGUUGGAGGGGUAAAGGCCCACCAAGGCGACGAUCCGUAGCUGGUCUGAGAGGAUGAUCAGCCACACUGGGACUGAGACACGGCCCAGACUCGUACGGGAGGCAGCAGUGGGGAAUAUUGGACAAUGGGCGCAAGCCUGAUCCAGCCAUGCCGCGUGUGUGAAGAAGGCCUUCGGGUUGUAAAGCACUUUUGUUGGGAAAGAAAAGCAGCCGGUUAAUACCCGGUUGUCAUGACGGUACCCAAAGAAUAAGCACCGGCUAACUUCGUG
rnacentral:rRNA from 1 species